ACGAACGCUGGCGGCGUGCUUCACACAUGCAAGUCGAACGGAAAGGCCUGCUUUCCCUUGUGGAUUGCGGGUGCUCGAGUGGCGAACGGGUGAGUAACACGUGAGUGAUCUGCCCCCAACUUGGGUAUAAGCCUGGGAAACUGGGUCUAAUUCCCGAUAGGACUGCAGGGUGGUGCCUGUGGUGGAAAACGAUUUUCUAGUGGUUGGGGAUGAGCUCGCGGCCUAUCAGCUUGUUGGUGGGGUAAUGGCCUACCAAGGCGGCGACGGGUAGCCGGCCUGAGAGGGUGGACGGCCACAUUGGGACUGAGAUACGGCCCAGACUCCUACGGGAGGCAGCAGUGGGGAAUAUUGCACAAUGGGCGGAAGCCUGAUGCAGCGACGCCGCGUGGGGGAUGACGGCCUUCGGGUUGUAAACUCCUUUCGACCGCGAGGAAGCCACCUGGUUGGAAGGAUGGUGACGGUAGUGGUAGAAGAAGCACCGGCUAACUACGUG
rnacentral:rRNA from 1 species